UGUGUGUGUGUGAGUGGAUAUAUGAGUGUUGUGUGUGUGUGUGUAUGUGUACAUGAGUGUGUGUAGGUGUGGGUGUGUCUAUGUGUAUCUGAGUGUGCGUAUGUGUGUGUGUGAUUGAGUGUGUGUGUGUAUGUGUAUAUGCGUGUGUGUGUCUCUACUCCAGUUGGCAGAGGGACACUGAGGAGUCACACACUCUAAAUCCAGUACAGAGGAUUGUGUGUUGAGUGAAGUGUGUGUGUGCGUGUGUGUGGAUGUGUGUGUAGGUGUGGGUGUGUGUGUGUCUAUGUGUAUCUGAGUGUGUGUGUGUGUGUGUGUGUGUGUGUGUAUGUGUACAUGAGUGUGUGUAGGUGUGAGUGUGUGU